GGGUCUUGGGAUACUUGGAGUUAAGCGUCUUUGGGUUUGAAUAGUACUGGGCUGGGUGACCUCUUGGGAAGUCCAAACUUAGGAGUUU
rnacentral:rRNA from 1 species